GACGAACGCUGGCGGCGUGCUUAACACAUGCAAGUCGAACGAAGAGCGAUGGAAGCUUGCUUCUAUCAAUCUUAGUGGCGAACGGGUGAGUAACGCGUAAUCAACCUGCCCUUCAGAGGGGGACAACAGUUGGAAACGACUGCUAAUACCGCAUACGAUCUAAUCUCGGCAUCGAGGAUAGAUGAAAGGUGGCCUCUACAUGUAAGCUAUCACUGAAGGAGGGGAUUGCGUCUGAUUAGCUAGUUGGAGGGGUAACGGCCCACCAAGGCGAUGAUCAGUAGCCGGUCUGAGAGGAUGAACGGCCACAUUGGGACUGAGACACGGCCCAGACUCCUACGGGAGGCAGCAGUGGGGAAUCUUCCGCAAUGGACGAAAGUCUGACGGAGCAACGCCGCGUGAGUGAUGACGGCCUUCGGGUUGUAAAGCUCUGUUAAUCGGGACGAAAGGCCUUCUUGCGAAUAGU
rnacentral:rRNA from 1 species